rnacentral:rRNA from 1 species
GACAGAGGGGGCAAGCGUUGCUCGGAAUUACUGGGCGUAAAGCGCGCGCAGGCGGUCCUUCAAGUCAGAGGUGAAAGCCCAGGGCUCAACCCUGGAACUGCCUUUGAAACUGGAGGACUUGAGUACGGGAGAGGUGAGUGGAAUUCCGAGUGUAGAGGUGAAAUUCGUAGAUAUUCGGAAGAACACCAGUGGCGAAGGCGGCUCACUGGCCCGUUACUGACGCUCAGGCGCGACAGCGUGGGGAGCAAACAGG